GGAUUUUUAAGUGAGGUGUGAAAGCCCCGGGCUUAACCUGGGAAUAGCAUUUCAGACUGGGAAUCUAGAGUACUUUAGGGAGGGGUAGAAUUCCACGUGUAGCGGUGAAAUGCGUAGAGAUGUGGAGGAAUACCGAAGGCGAAGGCAGCCCCUUGGGAAUGUACUGACGCUCAUGUGCGAAAGCGUGGGGAGCAAACAGGAUUAGAUACCCUGGUAGUCCACGCUGUAAACGCUGUCGAUUUGGGGGUUGGGCUUUAAGCUUGGCGCCCGUAGCUAACGUGAUAAAUCGACCGCCUGGGGAGUACGGCCGCAAGGUUAAAACUCAAAUGAAUUGACGGGGGCCCGCACAAGCGGUGGAGCAUGUGGUUUAAUUCGAUGCAACGCGAAGAACCUUACCUACUCUUGACAUCCAGAGAAGAGACUAGAGAUAGUUUNGUGCCUUAGGGAACUNNGAGACAGGUGCUGCAUGGCUGUCGUCAGCUCGUGUUGUGAAAUGUUGGGUUAAGUCCCGCAACGAGCG
rnacentral:rRNA from 1 species